UACGGGGGGGGGCAAGCGUUGUUCGGAAUUACUGGGCGUAAAGGGUGUGUAGGCGGUUAUUUAAGUUUGGUGUGAAAUCUCCCGGCUCAACCGGGAGGGUGCGCCGAAUACUGAAUGACUUGGAGUGCGGGAGAGGAAAGUGGAAUUCCUGGUGUAGCGGUGAAAUGCGUAGAUAUCAGGAGGAACACCGGUGGUGUAGACGGCUUUCUGGACCGUAACUGACGCUGAGACACGAAAGCGUGGGUAGCAAACAGG
rnacentral:rRNA from 1 species